rnacentral:lncRNA from 1 species
CUUUCCCAGCUCCCUCAGCUGCUCCUGGGGCUCCAAACCCUUCCCAGCUCCAUUCCCGUUUCCGGACAUGCUCCAGCCCUGUAUUUCUUGUCAUGAGAUGCCACCGAGUCACAUCCUUGGACAUUUUUAAUGUCAUUCCCCAGGAAAGAAGCAUCCACAGGAAUGUGAGCUCUCACUGCUUAUCCCUGAUCCACAGCAUUCAGGACUGCUUUGAAUAAUGGAAGAAGGAGCCAGACCCAGGAGAUUUUCCAGCAGGAGAACAGGAGAGAAGAUCCAGAGGCUGCACAAAUCCCUGGGAAAGGGCUGUGGAGAGUCUGAGAGUGAGGUGCAGAUGUCCAGAAAGGCAGAAGAUCUGGAGGGGAGGAGGGAAUAUGGGCAUGGAAAAGGAAUGAGGGGAACGGGCCGAAGCUGGUUUUAUUUGAUAAUUUCCCAAAGAUCCAUUUCUUUUUGUGGGAUUGGUGGAAAUUAAUGAAUGUAUUGGUGAGCAGCAACCCUGGAGAGGCCUUGGCUUGGGAGGGUGACAAAUAAACCAGAGUUUGGCUCAUCA